ACUCCUACGGGAGGCAGCAGUGGGGAAUAUUGCACAAUGGGCGAGAGCCUGAUGCAGCGACGCCGCGUGAGGGAUGACGGCCUUCGGGUUGUAAACCUCUUUCAGCAGGGAAGAAGCGAAAGUGACGGUACCUGCAGAAGAAGCGCCGGCUAACUACGUGCCAGCAGCCGCGGUAAU
rnacentral:rRNA from 1 species